GAUAAACGCUGGCGGCGUGCUUCAGGCAUGCAAGUCGAACGGACCUUCGGGUCAGUGGCGGACGGGUGAGUAACACGUAAGUAACCUGCCCAGAAGUGGGGAAUAACUAGCCGAAAGGCUGGCUAAUACCGCAUGUGAUGGCCUGUCCCUGGAUGGGUCAUUAAAGGAUUUAUUCGCUUCUGGAGGGGCUUGCGGUCGAUUAGCUUGUUGGUGGGGUAAUGGCCUACCAAGGCGACGAUCGAUAGCUGGUCUGAGAGGACGGUCAGCCAAACGGGGACUGAGAUACGGCCCCGACUCCGACGGGAGGCAGCAGCUAGGAAUCUUGGGAAUGGGCGAAAGCUUGACCCAGCAACGCCGCGUGUGCGAUGAAGGCCUUCGGGUCGUAAAGCCCUUUUGUAGGGGACGAUAAUGACGGUACCCUGCGAAUAAGCCACGGCUAACUACGUGCCAGCCGCCGCAGUAA
rnacentral:rRNA from 1 species